rnacentral:rRNA from 1 species
GACAGAGGGUGCAAACGUUGCUCGGAAUUACUGGGCGUAAAGCGCGUGUAGGCGGUUCGGCGAGUCGGAUGUGAAAGCCCGGGGCUCAACCCUGGAAGUGCAUACGAUACUACCGAACUGGAGUGCUGGAGAGGAGAGCGGAAUUCCCGGUGUAGAGGUGAAAUUCGUAGAUAUCGGGAGGAACACCAGUGGCGCAGGCGGCGUCUCUGGGACAGUGACUGACGCUGAGACGCGAAAGCAUGGGGAGCAAACAGG